AUACGUAGGGGGCGAGCGUUGUCCGGAAUGAUUGGGCGUAAAGGGCGCGUAGGCGGCCCGGUAAGUCUGGAGUGAAAGUCCUGUUUUUAAGAUGGGAAUUGCUUUGGAUACUGUCGGGCUUGAGUGCAGGAGAGGUAAGUGGAAUUCCCAGUGUAGCGGUGAAAUGCGUAGAGAUUGGGAGGAACACCAGUGGCGAAGGCGACUUGCUAGACUGUCACUGACGCUGAGACGCGAAAGUGUGGGGAGCAAACAGGAUUAGAUACCCUGGUAGUCCACGCUGUAAACGAUGAAUGCUAGGUGUAGGUGGUAUCGACCCCUUCUGUGCCGCAGCCACCACAAUAAGCAUUCCGCCUGGGGAGUACGGCCGCAAGGUUGAAACUCAACUGAAUUGCCAGGG
rnacentral:rRNA from 1 species